UUACAGAAAUUUAUAUCAUAAUAUAUAUAGUGUAUCGAUUUAGUAUCAUUUCAAUAAAGUCUCAAUUUAUUUUAUUAUCAUAUAGACUAAAGAUAUAUUAAACUCUUGUUAUUAUAAUAAAAUUUUACAAUACUAUUUAUUUAUUGAAUAAUAUUUUCCGUUAUUUUUUUUUUGUCAUAGGAUACAUCACCCUCCAACUUCAGCAGGUUCUCCAGCUUCCUUUGGGACAAAGAACAACUCUACUGUUGCUGCUUCUCCAGCAUUUUCAGUGCCACCAAGACCUAGUAUCAUGGGAAUGGUUGUAGGAAGAAGUGAAGCCAUUAAUUUGAAGACAAACAAUAAAUUUAUUGUUGUCACAUUUCUAACAAUUUUCUUUUUCAGUUUACUGUCUUGUUACUAAGACUAUACUAUAGAUUGAUGGUGUGAUUUCUUUGUUGAGAGUUGAUUAUGUAUUUGACUAUGUAAUUGUCUUGUGUUACUAACUAUUUUGUGUUAAUGUUGUUAAUUUCGCUUAAAUUAGUGUCUAUUUCAUUCUCUAUUCUAAUUAGCGUUUAUUUGACUAUAUAUUAUAAGUCAAUGUUAUUAAUUUAACCCGAGUGAAUUGUAGCAUUUUGUCGUAAUAUCUAAGACAAAAUACUAAACCAAACAAGUUUCAGAACACACAUUUGACAAAAUUUGUAACAACAAAAUGCUGAAUCACACAAACCACUCUGUCCAUGUGCCACAUUUGAAUCCAAAUUUCAACUCUAAAUUUCAAUUGUUUUUAUCUAUAUAUGAAUUAAGACCAUGGUGAUUUGAUCAAUCAUUUGCAACUUCUAAGAAUUGAAUAAAUAUAACAUCAACAAAACAAUUUUGUAAGAAAUAGCAUUACAUUUCCCCUUACAACUAAUUCACCCAAUUUGCUUUAGAAUUGAUACACAUACUAUGUUUAUGCAAAACAGAAGCAUUUUGCCUUACAAAUUGAGUG